rnacentral:rRNA from 1 species
UGCGUAGGUGGCAAUGUAAGUCAGAUGUGAAAUUUAGGGGCUCAACCUCUAAGCUGCAUCUGAAACUGCGUAGCUAGAGUGCAGGAGAGGAAAGCGGAAUUCCGAGUGUAGCGGUGAAAUGCGUAGAGAUUCGGAGGAACACCAGUAGCGAAGGCGGCUUUCUGGACUGUAACUGACACUGAGGCACGAAAGCGUGGGGAGCAAACA